rnacentral:rRNA from 1 species
AUUGAACGCUGGCGGCAGGCCUAACACAUGCAAGUCGAGCGGCAGCGGGAAGUAGCUUGCUACUUUGCCGGCGAGCGGCGGACGGGUGAGUAAUGUCUGGGAAACUGCCUGAUGGAGGGGGAUAACUACUGGAAACGGUAGCUAAUACCGCAUAACGUCGCAAGACCAAAGAGGGGGACCUUCGGGCCUCUUGCCAUCAGAUGUGCCCAGAUGGGAUUAGCUAGUAGGUGGGGUAAUGGCUCACCUAGGCGACGAUCCCUAGCUGGUCUGAGAGGAUGACCAGCCACACUGGAACUGAGACACGGUCCAGACUCCUACGGGAGGCAGCAGUGGGGAAUAUUGCACAAUGGGCGCAAGCCUGAUGCAGCCAUGCCGCGUGUAUGAAGAAGGCCUUCGGGUUGUAAAGUACUUUCAGCGGGGAGGAAGGUGCUGAGGUUAAUAACCCCAGCAAUUGACGUUACCCGCAGAAGAAGCACCGGCUAACUCCGUGCCAGCCGCCGCCGUAA